rnacentral:rRNA from 1 species
UACGUAGGGUGCAAGCGUUAAUCGGAAUUACUGGGCGUAAAGCGUGCGCAGGCGGCUUUGCAAGACAGAUGUGAAAUCCCCGGGCUUAACCUGGGAACUGCAUUUGUGACUGCAUGGCUAGAGUGCGGCAGAGGGGGAUGGAAUUCCGCGUGUAGCAGUGAAAUGCGUAGAGAUCCGGAGGAACCCCAGAGGCGAAGGCGGCGUCCUGGCUCACAACUGACGCUCAUACACGACAGCAUGGGGAGCGAACGGG